AUUUUUUUUUAAAAUUCAGUGAGGUCAAUUAUAACAGCCACUUUACGAAAUACUGUACUGUUCCAACACUGGUUUUUUUUUAAAAGCAAAGAUUGAGAUAUCGCUAACAAGCUUCUCAAAUAAUUAAAAGAAAAGUAAUUUGCAAAAGUUUUAAGAAAAAUCAGACUCGAAAUUUUGUUAUUAUAUAACCGGUGUUCCCGGGUGCUUGAACCCGGUUGAUGAAUAAAAAUGUGUCUCACACGUUGGUGGCAGAAAAAGGCAAUCUGACAUAAAACGGGUGUUUGUUAAAUCAGAAGAGCUCAAAUUAUCGUGGACGAUGGAAAUUUAGCUCGAUUUAGGCACUUAAUGGGUGAGAAAUACUUUUAUAUGCCAAAUCAACCUAAGGCGAAUGAGGAAAUUUUAGCAUCAUUUUAAGCUCGGUGCUUAGCGAAAAUAGUCAACAAUUUAACUAUCGUAUAUGUACAUUAGGUGAAUACAUAGGCUGUUAAUCCAAUAUAUAUUAAUAACCUUAUAAUACAAAUAAUUAUUUCUCUUUUUAAUAAUUUACUUGAUUGAACUGAAUCUGCAACAGCGUAAGCUAUCUCGAAUUCUACAAGGGCAGCUUUGGUUUCAUAUAGGGCAGCAGGUAUCCAUUACCGGUACGCCGUUCUGUGAUUUGCAAUUUUGGAGUACCAUCACAAUGUGGAAAAAGAUAAAAAGUUUAGGUGGAAUGCAAGUAGGCGACAAUUUAUGUCGGAUACUGGUGAUACAGGGAGACUGAGUCAGUGCAACCUAGUUCCUUGUGUUAAAUGUACAUUUGUCAUCACGUGGCACCACGUUUUAUGUAAAACAUUUAGUCAAUUUAUUUCUAGCAUGUGCGGGUUUGUGGAUAUCCCAUUUAAGUAAAAGAAGACGUUUACAUGAACACAAAAUGUUGUGAUCUUAUGCUAACUUUAAAAGAUUAUGGAUGUCAAGAAAACUAGUACUAAAUCAAUUUUCAAGUUCUCACUAUUUAAAGCGUUUGAGAUCUCAGCUCCUUUUUCUAUCCUCUUAAUGUAGGAAAACUUAAGUGUCAGUAGAAAACAUCACAUUCAAAUUCAUAAAUGGCACCAGUAUUUAAGUGCCCACUUUUUUGAAGAAAAAGCACAAAAUGUUUCCUUAAAAGUCCUUACUACCAAAAUAGAAAUAUCGCAUGUUUGAUACACACUUUCGUAACGUUUACCAUCACCACUUGUGCAAAUCCAGCAAAAUCAAUUUCACCCCACUUUUCCAUAUUCUUUCAAGUAUUUACUUUAACUACUUUACAACAAAUUCCAAAAACUUGAUACCUCUGUUAUAAGAGCACGCCUACAUGUCGACUACAUCCUUACUUAAGAUUCAAACGUACUGUAUUCAGUUAUACACAAAACAUUCAUCGAAUAAUACCUGAAAACCCAUUUAUAAGUAUUUUCAUUAGAUUCUAAUAUUAACAAAAACGCCAUCACAUAGCAAAAUAUAUCAACUUGUUAC